rnacentral:rRNA from 1 species
UAGAGUUUGAUCCUGGCUCAGAAUGAACGCUGGCGGCGUGCUUAACACAUGCAAGUCGAACGAGAAAGCUUUGGGCUUGCCCAGGGCGAGUAAAGUGGCGUACGGGUGAGUAACGCGUGGAUAAUCUACCUCUGAAUUUAGGAUAACAUUGCGAAAGUGAUGCUAAUACUGGAUAAUAUUUAGUUUGUAAAGGCAGAUUAAAUCAAAGGUGGCCACUACGAGUAAGCUACUGUUUAGAGAUGAGUCCGCGUACCAUUAGCUAGUUGGUAGGGUAAAGGCCUACCAAGGCUACGAUGGUUAGCUGGUCUGAGAGGAUGAUCAGCCACACUGGAACUGACACACGGUCCAGACUCCUACGGGAGGCAGCAAUGAGGAAUUUUGCGCAAUGGGGGAAACCCUGACGCAGCAACGCCGCGUGAGUGAAGAAGGCCUUAGGGUUGUAAAGCUCUGUCAAGUGGGAAGAAACUAUAAUAUGUUAAUACCAUAUUAUAUUGACGGUACCAUUAAAGGAAGCACCGGCUAACUCCGUGCCAGCAGCCGCGGUAAUACGGAGGGUGCAAGCGUUGUUCGGAAUUACUGGGCGUAAAGGGCGUGCAGGCGGGUUGGUAAGUCAGAUGUGAAAGCCCUGGGCUUAACCCAGGAAGUGCAUUUGAAACUGCCAUCCUAGAGUAUGGGAGAGGGAAGUGGAA